rnacentral:rRNA from 1 species
AUACGUAGGUGACAAGCGUUAUCCGGAUUUACUGGGCGUAAAGGGCGUGUAGGCGGUCUUGCAAGUCAGAAGUGAAAUUCCUGAGCUCAACUCGGGCGCUGCUUCUGAAACUGCAGGACUUGAGUGCUGGAGGGGAUAGCGGAAUUCCUAGUGGAGCGGUAAAAUGCGCAGAUAUUAGGAAGAACACCGGUGGCGAAGGCGGCUAUCUGGACAGUAACUGACGCUGAGGCGCGAAAGCGUGGGGAGCAAACAGGAUUAGAUACCCUGGUAGUCCACGCCGUAAACGAAGAAUACUAGGUGUAGGGGGUAUCGACUCCCUCUGUGCCGCAGUUAACACAAUAAGCAUUCCGCCUGGGGAGUACGGCCGCAAGGUUGAAACUCAAAUGAAUUGACGGGG